AAUUUGACCUCAAAUCAGGU
rnacentral:rRNA from 1 species